UGACGUAAAGUAGCGUUGGCGUAGGUGUGUUGUCUGCUAGCCUAUUGACAGUACUUGUUUAUCUUGCUUAAAUCAUCAUCUUUAUUAUCACUGGGAUGAUUUCGCAUUCAAAUUUGUUUGUUCUCUUAUGAAUGUUGGUCGGCUGGGCUACUUUUCCGUCCAAUCUUAGCAACUCAACUCUGCACAAUACAACGUUGUGGUCAAGAUAGGCUUUAAACAUAACCUAGUCUUGUUGCCCCGUUGAUAAAGCUGGAAUACUUCAUAACUUUGUCAACGUCUCUUCUCAAAGGUUAAGUCUGACAUGACAUCUAAGGGUGAAGUACUGAAACAAGAGUGCUGCUGCAAGAUUAUAUGGACCCCCUGUAUGCCAGUAUUCUGCUUUUAUUCACACAGGCCUCCUCGCGUUGGCUGAAAGAUGUGAACUUCGGUUGGAAUUGUUAGAUUGGUUUACUCCUACUGCAGCCACUGCUUGCCUUCAAACCAAAGUGGCGGCUCCAGACGUGGACUCCAGAGUUGGGAAGUCUCGACCUCGUAACUGUUUACACUUCUGCCGUCUGAGGAUUAAUUUUGUGAGGGGUUUCAUUGAUGAAGAAUCGCAAGACACUUACAAGAGACCAUGACCGCUUGGACCGCUGCAAGGAAAUUACUUGUAGUUUCUUGUCGUCUGAUGUGAGAUUAGUGUUACGGAUCUGAGGAUGCAUGUUGGUCAGACUUGCCAAAGCCCAACAGUUAAAUGAUGGUUACUUGAAAGACAUUUCACAUUUUUGUUUUUACUAAUUUUACUACUUUUAAAAAGAUGAAAUUAAAACAAAAAUUCUAAA